rnacentral:rRNA from 1 species
UACGUAGGUGGCAAGCGUUGUUCGGAAUUAUUGGGCGUAAAGGGCGCGUAGGCGGCUUGUUAAGUCGGUUGUGAAAGCCCGGGGCUCAACCCCGGAAAGUCGACCGAUACUGGCAGGCUAGAGUACGGAAGAGGUAGCUGGAAUUCCCGGUGUAGCGGUGAAAUGCGUAGAUAUUGGGAAGAACACCAGUGGCGAAGGCGGCUAACUGGUCCGGUACUGACGCUGAGGUGCGAAAGCGUGGGGAGCAAACAGG